ACCGCUGAUCAAAUCGAACUCCUCGUACAUUUGGGCAGCAACACCAUCGGUGCCGAAUUUCGGCACACGCAUACAUUUGCGAGGCGGGCACCGCUGCUGCCCAUCUGCACAGCUGCAUUUUUCUGGGUCAAUGGCCCAAAUGAAGGCCAAGGGCAUAUCCAAGGGCAUGCGAUCCACUCUCCUCAUAGUCUCUUUAAGAGCGAACCGGGCGGCCAAUAGCAAUCGUCGCUUUUGGCGCCGUGGAUCGCAUGUCUGGCGUUGCCACCCUUCAAAAAUUUGGGCUCCGCCGUGGGCCCAGCUUCACCCCGCAUACUCUGACCAUAUGACAAAAAGAUAUCGGCGUGGCCGAUAAUAUCGCACGCAACCAACUAAGUAACCCUCGGUACUGCCGAUAACGUCAAAUGCAACAAAUUAAUAACAAUUAAUCUCAUUUCUUACUGCAUUUAACUUUGCAGCCACUUACAAUCUCAUGCAAGCGGACCUUUCAUUAACUUCACAGGUAUUUCUGCAGGCUAUCUCCACUCAGUUAUUUACGUUCUCAUGCACGUGGACAUUUCUUCACCAGCCGAACAACACAUAGAAAGGACGUCACCGAAAGCUAAUGCCAGCCGCCGUUGGGAACAAAGUGAAAACAAAUACUAUAAAUAUUAAAUUGAGCGAAUGGCUCCCCCCACGUUCGCGCACGUAUAUAUAUAUAUAUGUUACCAGGCUGGAAAUAAAUGAUGUUACCGGAUUAAUUGCUAUUAUUACCAGGAAAACAACUACAGCUUGAUGUCAGCAGCACGCCGUCUCUGGGCUGAGUCUUGGGAGGGGAGUGCUUGGAACGGACUCACUUGACUAUCGCCACGUUUCUUAGCCUGUCCUUCUGGAUAGCGUCGUGGACCGUGCGCCGGGGGUAUGGCUGAGGUGCGCCGCUGCGUCGAAAACAGGCCGGGGGUGACUUUGUUGGCCUCUCUGGUCCGAGAGCUGGUCCCUUCGUUGUCGGUGCCGUUUAUUUUAUUAAUUGUCUUAUUGUUUUUAUUUGUUCGUCUCGAUUCGCACGUAAGUUUCAAGUUUUUUCUAAUUUUUGUAUUUUGUGACACAAUGUUUAAAUUCAGAUUUUAU